GGACGAACGCUGGCGGCGUGCCUAACACAUGCAAGUCGAACGGAGAUAAGCGCUGGUGAUUUAGCUUGCUAGAGAUCCUUGCUUAUCUUAGUGGCGGACGGGUGAGUAACGCGUGAGCAACCUGCCUUUCAGAGGGGGAUAACGUCUUGAAAAGGACGCUAAUACCGCAUGACAUUACGUUUUCGCAUGGAGAUGUAAUCAAAGGAGCAAUCCGCUGAAAGAUGGGCUCGCGUCCGAUUAGGUAGUUGGCGGGGUAGAGGCCCACCAAGCCGACGAUCGGUAGCCGGACUGAGAGGUUGAACGGCCACAUUGGGACUGAGACACGGCCCAGACUCCUACGGGAGGCAGCAGUGAGGGAUAUUGGUCAAUGGGGGAAACCCUGAACCAGCAACGCCGCGUGAGGGAUGACGGCCUUCGGGUUGUAAACCUCUGUCCUCUGUGAAGAUAAUGACGGUAGCAGAGGAGGAAGCUCCGGCUAACUACGUGCC
rnacentral:rRNA from 1 species